rnacentral:rRNA from 1 species
UAGGGAAUCUUCCACAAUGGACGCAAGUCUGAUGGAGCAACGCCGCGUGAGUGAAGAAGGUUUUCGGACCGUAAAGCUCUGUUGUUGGUGAAGAAGGAUAGAGGUAGUAACUGGCCUUUAUUUGACGGUAAUCAACCAGAAAGUCACGGCUAACUACGUGCCAGCAGCCGCGGUAAUACGUAGGUGGCAAGCGUUGUCCGGAUUUAUUGGGCGUAAAGCGAGCGCAGGCGGAAGAAUAAGUCUGAUGUGAAAGCCCUCGGCUUAACCGAGGAAUUGCAUCGGAAACUGUUUUUCUUGAGUGCAGAAGAGGAGAGUAGAACUCCAUGUGUAGCGGUGGAAUGCGUAGAUAUAUGGAAGAAUACCAGUGGCGAAGGCGGCUCUCUGGUCUGCAACUGACGCUGAGGCUCGAAAGCAUGGGUAGCGAACAGGAUUAGAUACCCUGGUAGUCCAUGCCGUAAAACGAUGAGUGCUAAGUGUUGGGAGGCUUCCGCCUCUCAGUGCUGCAGCUAAACGCAUUAAGCACUCCGCCUGGGGGAGUACGACCGCAAGGUUGAA